rnacentral:rRNA from 1 species
GAUGAACGCUGGCGGCGUGCCUAAUACAUGCAAGUCGAGCGAACAGACGAGGAGCUUGCUCCUCUCACGUUAGCGGCGGACGGGUGAGUAACACGUGGAUAACCUACCUAUAAGACUGGGAUAACUUCGGGAAACCGGCGCUAAUACCGGAUAAUAUAUUGAACCGCAUGGUUCAAUAGUGAAAGACGGUUUUGCUGUCACUUAUAGAUGGAUCCGCGCCGCAUUAGCUAGUUGGUAAGGUAACGGCUUACCAAGGGGACGAUGCGUAGCCGACCUGAUGGGGUGAUCGCCCACCUUGGAGCUGGGACACGCUCCAGACUCCUACGGGAGGGCGCAGUAGCGAAUCUUCCGCAAUGGGCGAAAGCCUUACGGAGCAACGGCGCGUGAGUGAUGAAGAUCUUCGGAUCGUAAAACUCUGUUAUGAGGGAAGAACCAAUGUGUAAGUAACUAUGCACGUCUUGACGGUACCUAGUCAGAAAGCCACGGCUAACUACGUG